rnacentral:rRNA from 1 species
CGCUCGCGACAGCUAACACAUGCAAGUCGAGGGGCAUCACGGGAGUAGCAAUACAACUGGUGGCGACCGGCGCACGGGUGAGUAACGCGUAUGCAACCUACCUAUCAGAGGGGAAUAACCCGGCGAAAGUCGGACUAAUACCGCAUAAAACAGGGGCACCGCAUGGUGAUAUUUGUUAAAGAAAUUCGCUGAUAGAUGGGCAUGCGUUCCAUUAGGUAGUUGGUGAGGUAACGGCUCACCAAGCCGACGAUGGAUAGGGGAACUGAGAGGUUGGUCCCCCACACUGGUACUGAGACACGGACCAGACUCCUACGGGAGGCAGCAGUGAGGAAUAUUGGUCAAUGGGCGGGGGCCUGAACCAGCCAAGUCGCGUGAAGGAAAAGAAGGAUCUAUGGUUCGUAAACUUCUUUUGCAGGGGAAUAAAGUGCAGGACGUGUCCUGUUUUGUAUGUACCCUGAGAAUAAGGAUCGGCUAACUCCGUGCCAGCAGCUGC